CUUAAUUUCUCCCCAUUUCCGCUACAUAAUUAACGAUCCAAACAAAGGGUUAGGGUAUUCACUAAUUGGUCAAAACUUUAAAUUGUGUAUAUUAUAGUCGAAUCUUAGUUAGUUGUCAGUCAAAAUGGCUAAAUUAGAUUUUAAAAAUCUAACAGUAAAUUACAAUAUAGUCCCUAAUUAAAUUUUAUUUGAUUAACAAAACUUUCUUGAUUCAGCCAAGCAAACUGCAAUUGAUAAAGUUUAUCUACCUCGCAACAUCCAAACUGAUAUUGAUCAGAUCAAAACCAGAAUUAAUUCUUCCACCAGCAUCCUCGCUAAUCGAACGAUGGAG
rnacentral:misc_RNA from 1 species